UUGAACGCUGGCGGCAGGCCUAACACAUGCAAGUCGAGCGGUAGCACAGAGAGCUUGCUCUCGGGUGACGAGCGGCGGACGGGUGAGUAAUGUCUGGGAAACUGCCUGAUGGAGGGGGAUAACUACUGGAAACGGUAGCUAAUACCGCAUAACGUCGCAAGACCUAAGUGGGGGACCUUCGGGCCUCAUGCCAUCAGAUGUGCCCAGAUGGGAUUAGCUAGUAGGUGGGGUAACGGCUCACCUAGGCGACGAUCCCUAGCUGGUCUGAGAGGAUGACCAGCCACACUGGAACUGAGACACGGUCCAGACUCCUACGGGAGGCAGCAGUGGGGAAUAUUGCACAAUGGGCGCAAGCCUGAUGCAGCCAUGCCGCGUGUGUGAAGAAGGCCUUCGGGUUGUAAAGCACUUUCAGCGGGGAGGAAGGCGGUGAGGUUAAUAACCUCAUCGAUUGACGUUACCCGCAGAAGAAGCACCGGCUAACUCCGUGCCAGCAGCCGCGGUAAUACGGAGGGUGCAAGCGUUAAUCGGAAUUACUGGGCGUAAAGCGCACGCAGGCGGUCUGUCAAGUCGGAUGUGAAAUCCCCGGGCUUAACCUGGGAACUGCAUUCGAAACUGGCAGGCUAGAGUCUUGUAGAGGGGGGUAGAAUUCCAGGUGUAGCGGUGAAAUGCGUAGAGAUCUGGAGGAAUACCGGUGGCGAAGGCGGCCCCCUGGACAAAGACUGACGCUCAGGUGCGAAAGCGUGGGGAGCAAACAGGAUUAGAUACCCUGGUAGUCCACGCCGUAAACGAUGUCGAUUUGGAGGUUGUGCCCUUGAGGCGUGGCUUCCGGAGCUAACGCGUUAAAUCGACCGCCUGGGGAGUACGGCCGCAAGGUUAAAACUCAAAUGAAUUGACGGGGGCCCGCACAAGCGGUGGAGCAUGUGGUUUAAUUCGAUGCAACGCGAAGAACCUUACCUGGUCUUGACAUCCACAGAACUUAGCAGAGAUGCUUUGGUGCCUUCGGGAACUGUGAGACAGGUGCUGCAUGGCUGUCGUCAGCUCGUGUUGUGAAAUGUUGGGUUAAGUCCCGCAACGAGCGCAACCCUUAUCCUUUGUUGCCAGCGGUCCGGCCGGGAACUCAAAGGAGACUGCCAGUGAUAAACUGGAGGAAGGUGGGGAUGACGUCAAGUCAUCAUGGCCCUUACGACCAGGGCUACACACGUGCUACAAUGGCAUAUACAAAGAGAAGCGACCUCGCGAGAGCAAGCGGACCUCAUAAAGUAUGUCGUAGUCCGGAUUGGAGUCUGCAACUCGACUCCAUGAAGUCGGAAUCGCUAGUAAUCGUAGAUCAGAAUGCUACGGUGAAUACGUUCCCGGGCCUUGUACACACCGCCCGUCACACCAUGGGAGUGGGUUGCAAAAGAAGUAGGUAGCUUAACCUUCGGGAGGGCGCUUACCACUUUGUGAUUCAUGACUGGGGUG
rnacentral:rRNA from 1 species